CAACCACCUCUGAGGUCAACUGAAGUGUGCAAGUCUCUCUUGUACUAAGGAGUUGUGAAUGAGACUGCCAUUGCUCCGGUCCAGAACAAACCUCACUGGACACCUCAGGCAGAGGGAGACUUCCCCAUGAAUGGAGCCCCUGCACUCCAGGAGUCUUUGCUAAAACAGAGAGAGCGACCAGAAGACUACAGCCUGAACCAGCCCUUUGGCUUUCAAACUCAAUUCAACUUCAAAUAUCUUUACAAAUAACAGACUGCAAUCAUCUGAGAUAGAGAGUGAGGAAUAAGCGUCAGAGACACUAUUGAAGCCAGACUCUGGUCUGGCGGUAAGACACCCAUACACAGUGAGCCUGCCCCUGCUGUCCUCCAAUGGAGACCCCGGGUAGAGCAAGACGCUGCUGCAACGUUACAGGGGGACCCCCAGUAAAGGAGUCAUCCAGAGGGGAACACAGCGUUGCAGUGUGCGACAUGAAUGCAGUGAAAACUACUGAGCUGUCUGUCCACAGUAAGGAGAACAGGCAAAGUCCUGGACACCUAAAGACUAAAGAGGACGAGGAGGACCCCUGGGACAGGAAGGACCCCAGUAACCACACAACCAGGAAGCAUCCCUCAACCAUUGGGGGAAAGAAUGGUGAGUUUCAAUAAUAUUAGUUGUAAUUCUAAUUAAAUGAAAAUGUAAACAGGACUAACAUUUGUGACCGACCGACUUGAUUCGCUCUUAUGUAGCAACAUUUGAAAUGUUGUUUUUUACAUUGCAUACAAGUAGAGACUCACAGCUAGAUAAUUGUAUAUCAUACACUAAAGUUUUGGAACAAUGGGAAAGUAAUUCUGCUUUGAAAGUUAAUAAACUUGUUACCUCAGCUUUUGAGAAAAUGGCCCUUGAAUGCUUUGGCACACCUACAGGAGAGCUCUUCUUUCUCUACACCCAUUGUUCACACACUCUUAUGCUUUAGCCCCAACCAUCUCCUUAAGGAUUCACAUGUGAGGCCAUGUACUAAACAACCAAAGAUGUCAAGACUAAAGGCUGGUUUAUACUAUGGUUGUGUUCGUAAAUUUAAUCUGGAGUGCUAGAACAUGCUCUGGGUGAUUGUAAACUCAGUGUUAUCACAUUGUCAGUUCGUAAACGCACACUGGAUGCUCUGGCCGAGGAGUAGGGUUGAUCCGAGCGUUCUGACCUAACAACAGCAGUCAAGCACCAAAGCUAGCUGGCUAACAUUGGCUAGCUUGCUAGCUACUUCCUGACACAAAUGAGAGAACACCUCACUCUGACCAUUUUACUCCCCCUAGCAGAGCUGGUUAGGCUGUUUUUAUGUUAUCCAGAGCGUUGGUGACUGCAACUGUGCUGCUGGCAACUAUUUAAUUAUGUUUUUUUGACAAUGUUUACUGACACCGGCCAUAUUCAACGGGUGUUGAGCGUUCGUAAAUUCGUAAUUUAAUCUGUGCUCUGAAAUCGGAGUCGAUAGCCAGAGUAAAUUUACCAGCAACGUCUAUCGACAGUUUUCUCAGUGACAUCAUGAACAUUCUAUUGAAAUGGACAUAGUGGAGUCUUUUCUUUAGACAUGUAGCUAGCUAGCUAGCUAAACAAUGAACCAUAUUCCCAACUCAUAACGUAACUACCCUGCAUGAAUCUGCAAGUAGCUAACCAACCAGGUUCAAUGUUAGCUAGCUACUAGCAACAACUAGCAAUGCAAAUGGCUCUGAGAUACGAAUAAUAUUGCUACACAGAUCAUGUAAAGAUAGAUAUAUUUUGUACCUUUAUUUAACUAGGCAAGUCAGUUAAGAACAAAUUCUUAUUUUCAAUGACGGCCUAAGAACCGUGGGUUAACUGCCUUGCUCAGGGGCAGAACGACAGAUUUUUACCUUGUAAGCUCGGGCAUUCGAUCGAAGUCCAACGCUCUAACCACUAGGCUACCUGCCGCCCCCGAUGAUACUAACGAUAGUGAUCAGCAGAUUGAUUGGAUUGGCUGAAUCAAUCACACAAGAUAACAAAUGAUAUCUAGAUUUUCGUAAAUCUAUGACCAAAAAUAAUUGUGGUUAUUUUCUUUUGUAACUUAAAGUUACAUACAGGCCUCUUUUAAAGUAAAUCACUUAUAUUUUCUACCAACAUACAUACCAGAUAAAUAGAUAAGUAUGUAUGGUGAGUCCCUGCCAAGUUCCUUCCCGCGCCAGAUAAAACAAGAUUGUUUGAACAUUUUAUUAAAGCCACCUGAUGAUUCAUCUGCGAUGAAAUAUCUGUACGCUCUGCUUUUCAACUUCACAGCCCUAAUCAAACCAGCUUAAAUGCCACUGGCAUCACAAGGGUCUGAAGAUGAAAGUAUUUGAGGAAUCCAGUGAUAUAAACGUGUAUUUUUAGAAUGAUGUAUCCCCCUGGACUCCCUGCGAAACGAAGGAACGACGCUGAGAGAAAUGCAGCCUCUUCCCACUUCACUCCUCCUCAAGCCCUCUCCUCUCCUCUCCUCUCCUCUCCUCUCCUCUCCUCUCCUCUCCUCUCCUCUCCUCACUUCUUUUCCAUGAUGUCAUGUGCGGCUAAAAGAAGAGACAGACAAACAUAAACUGGAAUCUCCUCAACUUUUAGCCAUUCAUUUUUUUUCUCCUCUCUCUCUCUCCCGUCUUCUUCUUUCAAAUCAGUCCUGAGACAGAUAGAGAGGGCGAGAGAGUGGAGAAAAAAACAACAACAGUAAAAUGCCUCAGCAUCUUGACCACGUCUCCCAGUGCUCUUGCCAAAGACUUGACGACAGAGUCCAAAUAUAAAGUCAAGAUAAGGCUGAUUUGGUCAUAGUCGCCUUUUUAAUUUACGCAACUAUGUAAUGGUGAUACGAUAAACCAAAUGUCUGGUUUCUAAGGCUCGUUGUAAAUGAACACUUUGUAAAUGUCUGCAGGGAAAAUACAGUUAAGAAGUUAAAUGUGAGUCCAGUUUUACAGGAGUUAGAUCCCAACAAGAAGACGGUUACAGUGACCGUCUAGGAUUUUAUUGCUGUCCGCAGCCGCCCUCACACCUCUUUAACAGCAGCAAGCCGCGGAAACACGCGAUACACACCUCCCUCAGCAAGCACCACUGGGACACGCACAGCACUCACGCUCUGUCUGUGUGUGUGUGUGUGUGUGUGUGUGUGUGUGUGUGUGUGAGCGUGCACAUCCAUCUGUGUGUGUGUGUUAACAUAAACCCAGCAGUGUCUCAAACUUGGCCUCUAGCCAGACGGUCAUGUUCUUAGUCGGCAUCUAAUCAUGAGAACUCUCCUCUUCUCUCUCGGGGUGAAUGAAUGCUUCUCACGUGUGAUUCUGGCAGUCGUUAUAACCUUGUAACUCCUAAACGCAGCAUCACAUAUGACCACCCUAGUCGGUUAAAGUAGAAAAGUACAGCCUGCAAAAAUGUGAUUUAAUCAGUGUUAUGAUUGUGAAGGGGGAAACUUUAAUGUAGACUUGUAAUAUGUUGUUUAAAGGUCAAUAUGCAGCAUUAUUAAUUUCAAAGUAUCUCUGCCGGGUUUAACAUAAAAAAUACUUUGAAUUGACUUGUUGUAUCUUGUAUCUUGUUUAUAUCGUGAUUUAGAGUUGAAAAGAGGGCUAGAUCUCUUGCCAAGUCAUACCAAGUCUUUUAAGGUGUUGAAAGAGUCCACAGGAUGGCAUCGUUCACACAAGUUUGGCAACAGAUGCCUAUACCCUCCCAUUGUAGCUCAUAGGGCAUCUUUCACUGCAAUGAAAUAACACAGAAAUCUUCCUCCUCCACUACUCAGUAUGGAAGACGCGACUCAGUCAGAGGACUUUAUGGGUGCCCCUUGAUAGUCUUAAGUGGUUUCCUCUCCUUGUCUCC
rnacentral:lncRNA from 13 species